UCAGCAGUCAAAAAUAUUAGUCAAUGCUCGAAAGAGUGAACUAGCUAACUGAAAUCAAUUAUAAAAUUGAUAACAUAAGGGAAAAUAAUGAUAUUACCUUAUUAUUAGUGUCGUCCAAAACUGGUGCCAGAAGACUCGGUAAGGCCAGAGACAUAAACGUUAAUCGUCUUAAUCAGGCGUAAAGGGUUUGUAGGCGGCUUUUAAUUUUAUUUAUUUAUUUUUUUGUUUUUAUUAAAAUUUAUAAGUACAGAAUAAAAGCUAGAAUCAAAUAGAGGAUAUAUCAAAUAAUGCUUAGAGUAGGUCUGAUAUCCUUAGAUACUAAGUAGAAUAUUAAAGGCGAAGGCUUUUUUCCAUUAAUGAUUGACGCUCAGAAACGAAGGUGAGGAUAGGAAAUAGGAUUAGAUACCCAAAAUACCCCUCUCUGUCAACGAUGAAUGGUAGUUAUUAGUAAUAAAUUAAUUAAUGACAAUGUUAACACGAUAACCAUUCCGCCUUGUGAGUACAACUGCAAAGUUGAAAACAAAAAAAUUAGUCGGUUUCGGAGCAAACGAAGUGAAGCAUGUUAUUUAAUUCAAUAAACCCGCAA
rnacentral:rRNA from 1 species